AAAGGAAUUGACGGGGGCCCGCACAAGCGGAGGAACAUGUGGUUUAAUUCGAUGAUACGCGAGGAACCUUACCCGGGCUUGAACUGCUCCCGCAUGAUGUUGAAAGAUAUCAGCCAGCAAUGGCGGGAGCGGAGGUGCUGCAUGGUUGUCGUCAGCUCGUGCCGUGAGGUGUCGGCUCAAGUGCCAUAACGAGCGCAACCCUUGCCUACAGUUACUAACGGAUAAAGCCGAGGACUCUGUAGGGACUGCCAUCGCAAGAUGUGAGGAAGGUGGGGAUGACGUCAAAUCAGCACGGCCCUUACGUCCGGGGCUACACACGUGUUACAAUGGGGGGUACAGCAGGAAGCUAGGCCGCAAGGUCGGGCGGAUCGUCAAAGCCCCUCUCAGUUCGGACUGGAGUCUGCAACCCGACUCCACGAAGCUGGAUUCGCUAGUAAUCGCGCAUCAGCCAUGGCGCGGUGAAUACGUUCCCGGGCCUUGUACACACCGCCCGU
rnacentral:rRNA from 1 species